rnacentral:rRNA from 1 species
UACGGAGGGGGCUAGCGUUGUUCGGAAUUACUGGGCGUAAAGCGCACGUAGGCGGCUUUGUAAGUUAGAGGUGAAAGCCCGGGGCUCAACCCCGGAAUUGCCUUUAAGACUGCAUCGCUUGAAUCCGGGAGAGGUGAGUGGAAUUCCGAGUGUAGAGGUGAAAUUCGUAGAUAUUCGGAAGAACACCAGUGGCGAAGGCGGCUCACUGGACCGGUAUUGACGCUGAGGUGCGAAAGCGUGGGGAGCAAACAGG